rnacentral:rRNA from 1 species
UACAGAGGUCUCAAGCGUUGUUCGGAUUCAUUGGGCGUAAAGGGUGCGUAGGCGGCGCGGUAAGUCGGGUGUGAAAUCUUGGAGCUUAACUCCGAAACUGCAUUCGAUACUGCCGUGCUUGAGGACUGGAGAGGAGACUGGAAUUUACGGUGUAGCGGUGAAAUGCGUAGAUAUCGUAAGGAAGACCAGUGGCGAAGGCGGGGUCUCUGGACAGUUUCCUGACGCUGAGGCACGAAGGCCAGGGGGAGCAAACGGG